rnacentral:pre_miRNA from 1 species
GCCACUGCUCGCACCCGCUGCUAGCGCCUAGUGCCGGUCCUGAUCACUUGGCGCCGUCAGUGGGUGUGAGCGGUGGCUG